rnacentral:sRNA from 1 species
CAUUGGAUUGCAUCCAAUGCUUUGUUAAGUCGUCCCUUCGGGACU